ACAGUGGGGAAUUAUGUGCGGUAAUAAUGUGUUACAACUUAAACCUCAAUCCAAACUCUAAAUAAUGUUACAUUAAAAACAAAAGAAUAUAAUUUAGCAUAAAUAUAAAAACUAAACACGUGUAAAGUAAAACCGUUUUGUGAUCUUUAUGAAUGUUACUUUAAUAGUUUUUCUAAUUAAAAUUAAUUUGGAGUAGUUAAGAAAAAGAAUUACAAACUAACUUUUAGGGUGGCUGUGAAAACAUUCGGAAUCUUUUUUGAGAACAAGUAUAAUUAGUUUCCAUCAUUAUCCACAAUAUGCUUUUAAUCAUUGUACCUUAAUUAAGUGUAAUAUAAUGAAAUAACUAAGCCACAGUGUGUACAUCUCUUUUCUGUAUUUCUUUUAUUAAAUUGUCUUUUUUUUAA
rnacentral:lncRNA from 1 species